rnacentral:rRNA from 1 species
AGCAGCCGCGGUAAUUCCAGCUCCAAUAGCGUAUAUUUAAGUUGUUGCAGUUAAAAAGCUCGUAGUUGAAUUUCGGGGUUAGUAGGUUGGUCAUACCUCUGGUAUGUACUGGUCUCACUGAUUCCUCCUUCCUGAUGAGCCGUAAUGCCAUUAAUUUGGUGUUGCGGGGAAUUUGGACUGUUACUUUGAAAAAAUUAGAGUGUUCAAAGCAGGCCUUUGCUCGAAUACGUUAGCAUGGAAUAAUAGAAUAGGACGUGCGGUUCUAUUUUGUUGGUUUCUAGGACCGCCGUAAUGAUUAAUAGGGACAGUCGGGGGCAUCAGUAUUCAAUUGUCAGAGGUGAAAUUCUUGGAUUUAUUGAAGACUAACUACUGCGAAAGCAUUUGCCAAGGAUGUUUUCAUUAAUCAAGAACGAAAGUUAGGGGAUCGAAGACGAUCAGAUACCGUCGUAGUCUUAACCAUAAACUAUGCCGACUAGGGAUCGGAUGAUGUUAAUUUUUUAAUGACUC